CCUACGGGGGGCAGCAGUGGGGAAUAUUGGACAAUGGGCGAAAGCCUGAUCCAGCCAUGCCGCGUGAGUGACGAAGGCCUUAGGGUUGUAAAGCUCUUUUGGCGGGGACGAUAAUGACGGUACCCGCAGAAUAAGCUCCGGCUAACUUCGUGCCAGCAGCCGCGGUAAUACGAAGGGAGCUAGCGUUGUUCGGAAUCACUGGGCGUAAAGCGCACGUAGGCGGAUUUGUUAGUCAGGGGUGAAAUCCCGGGGCUCAACCUCGGAACUGCCUUUGAUACUGCAAAUCUCGAGUCCGAGAGAGGUGGGUGGAAUUCCUAGUGUAGAGGUGAAAUUCGUAGAUAUUAGGAAGAACACCGGUGGCGAAGGCGGCCCACUGGCUCGGUACUGACGCUGAGGUGCGAAAGCGUGGGGAGCAAACAGGAUUAGAUACCCCUGUAGU
rnacentral:rRNA from 1 species